rnacentral:rRNA from 1 species
CUGGUUGAUCCUGCCAGACCCGACUGCUAUCGGAUUGGGACUAAGCCAUGCGAGUCAACUCCGCAAGGGGUGGCGCACGGCUCAGUAACACGUAGUCAACCUACCCUGGGGACGGGGAUAACCUCGGGAAACUGAGGCUAAACCCCGAUGGGCCAUGGCUCCUGGAAUGGGCUAUGGCUGAAAUCUACAUGGCCCCAGGAUGGGACUGCGGCCGAUCAGGUUGUUGGUGGGGUAAUGGCCCACCAAGCCUAUAACCGGUGCGGGCUCUGAGAGGAGGAGCCCGGAGAUGGGCACUGAGACAAGGGCCCAGGUCCUAUGGGGCGCAGCAGGCGCGAAACCUCCGCAAUGGGCGAAAGCCCGACGGGGUCAGUCCGAGUGGUUCCCGCUGAGGGAACCUUUUGCCAGCUGUAAACAGGCUGGCGAAUAAGGGGUGGGCAAGUUUGGUGUCAGCCGCCGCGGUAAUACCAGCACCCCGAGUGGUCGGGACGAUUAUUGGGCCUAAAGCAUCCGUAGCCGGCCCAGUAAGUCCUCCGUUAAAUCCAACGGCUCAACCGUUGGGCUGCGGGGGAUACUGCUGGGCUAGGGGACGGGAGAGGCGAGGGGUAUUCCUGGGGUAGGGGUAAAAUCCACUGAUCCCGGGAGGACCACCAGUGGCGAAGGCGCCUCGCUAGAACGUGCCCGACGGUGAGGGAUGAAAGCUGGGGGAGCGAACCGGAUUAGAUACCCGGGUAGUCCCAGCCGUAAACGAUGUAGGCUCGGUGUUGGGCUGCCUCAGUGGCAGCCCAGUGCCGCAGGGAAGCCGUUAAGCCUACCGACUGGGGAGUACGGCCCCAAGGCUGAAACUUAAAGGAAUUGGCGGGGGAGCACCAC